rnacentral:rRNA from 1 species
UCCUGGCUCAGGAGUGAACGCUGGCGGCGUGCCUAAUACAUGCAGGUCGAUCGCACUACUCGGUAGUGAGAGGCGAACGGGUGAGUAACACGUAGGUAACAUAUCUAUAUGACGAGGAUAACGGUUGGAAACGACUGCUAAGACUGGAUAGGAGUAGAGGAGGCAUCUCUUUACUUUAAAGGACUUUUCGGAGUACGCGUAUGGAGUGACCUGCGGCGCAUUAGUUAGUUGGUGGGGUAGUGGCCUACCAAGACGAUGAUGCGUAGCCGGACUGAGAGGUUGAACGGCCACAUUGGGACUGAGACACGGCCCAGACUCCUACGGGAGGCAGCAGUAGGGAAUUUUCGGCAAUGGGGGGAACCCUGACCGAAGCAACGCCGCGUGAAUGACGAAGUACUUCGGUAUGUAAAGUUCUUUUAUUAAGGAAGAAAGUGCAGUGGAAAAACUGUAUAGACGGUACUUAUUGAAUAAGCCCCGGCUAACUACGUGCCAGCCGCGGC